rnacentral:rRNA from 1 species
GAUGAACGCUGGCGGCGUGCUUAACACAUGCAAGUCGAACGGACAGGCUCCUGCUUGCAGGGGUACUCGAUUGGCGAACGGGUGUGUAACACGUGGGUGAUCUGCCCUGCACUUCGGGAUAAGCCUGGGAAACUGGGUCUAAUACCGGAUAUGACGUUUGUUUGGAUGCCAUUGUGGAAAGUUUUUCGGUGUGGGAUGAGCUCGCGGCCUAUCAGCUUGUUGGUGGGGUAAUGGCCUACCAAGGCGUAGACGGGUAGCCGGCCUGAGAGGGUGUACGGCCACAUUGGGACUGAGAUACGGCCCAGAAUCCUACGGGAGGCAGCAGUGGGGAGUAUUGCAGAAUGGGGGCAAGCCUGAUGCAGCGACGCCGCGUGGGGGAUGACGGCCUUCGGGUUGUAAACAACUUUCGCUAGGGACGAAGCGCAAGUGACGGUACCUGGAGAAGAAGCACCGGCUAACUACGUG